rnacentral:rRNA from 1 species
CGUAGGGUGCGAGCGUUAAUCGGAAUUACUGGGCGUAAAGCGUGCGCAGGCGGUUAUAUAAGACAGAUGUGAAAUCCCCGGGCUCAACCUGGGAACUGCAUUUGUGACUGUAUAGCUAGAGUACGGCAGAGGGGGAUGGAAUUCCGCGUGUAGCAGUGAAAUGCGUAGAUAUGCGGAGGAACACCGAUGGCGAAGGCAAUCCCCUGGGCCUGUACUGACGCUCAUGCACGAAAGCGUGGGGAGCAAACAGGAUUAGAUACCCUGGUAGUCCACGCCCUAAACGAUGUCAACUGGUUGUUGGGUCUUCACUGACUCAGUAACGAAGCUAAACGCGUGAAGUUGACCGCCUGGGGGAGUACGGCCGCAAGGUUG